rnacentral:rRNA from 1 species
AUACGGAGGGUCCGAGCGUUAAUCGGAAUUACUGGGCGUAAAGCGUACGUAGGUGGCUUGAUUAGUCGGAUGUGAAAGCCCUGGGCUCAACCUGGGAACUGCAUUCGAUACUGUCAGGCUAGAGUAUAGUAGAGGGAAGUGGAAUUCCGGGUGUAGCGGUGAAAUGCGUAGAUAUCGGGAGGAACACCAGUGGCGAAAGCGGUCUUCUGGGAUACAUCUGACGCUGAGGGGCGAAAGCGUGGGUAGCAAACCGGAUUAGAAACCCCGGUAGUCC